rnacentral:lncRNA from 1 species
CAGGCUGGUCUCGAACUCCUGACGACCUCAGGUGAUCUGCCUGCCUUGGCCUCCCAAAAUGCUGGGAUUACAGGUGUGAGCCACUGUGCCCGGCCGCUGCUGCUAUUUCAGGAAAGUCAAGCAAUCUUUGAAUCAUAGUUUCCUUGCAUUGGUAAAAUAAGGGAGUUGAAUUAAGUGGUUUUUAAGAUCCCUCACCAGUCCUAACUCUCUAGAAGAAUUCAGGGUGACUUUUUGGUGCAGGCAGUCCUCUGCUGCACAGGUCCACAUCUGUCUUCCUUCCACAGAGGGUGGGACACACAGCCUGGCAUAUGGGACACACUGUUUAGACCUCCCGAUUUCAGGUCUUAAUUACUCAGUGUUCACAUUUUCCUUCCACUGUUGGCUUUCUCUCCACAUAUGAUGAAACUCCAUGGUCAGCACUGGAAGAGGCGAGAGGCGUUUUCAUCUGGAUGUGGGUGAAGGGUGGACAAGCUUCUUCUCAGAGCCAGGACAAUGAGGACAGGCUGAGGGAUGUCAGACCAUAGCCUUGUCUCCCGCGGGCCAGGCAGAGCAUCCCAG